UUAAUUUUAAAAUUAAUUUUAUAAAGUUUUUAGAGAAUUGUUUUAUAUUCAAUCAGUACCAAAUAAAAUUAAAUGUGUUAGUAACUCCAUUGAAAGUGCCACUAGCCCAGUGCUAAAAUACCUUGCCAUUAGUCCUAAUCAACCCCGAAUUCAAAUCCAGGGGUGUACUUUUUUUUUAUUUUCAAAUCAUGUGAAAUAACGUCGUUUCAUCUCAUUUGAAAACGACGUCGUUUCGCUUAACGCCAACAUUUAACACCGUCUUAACUGUGAGUUCACGGUGAAUUCUCAAUGAUUAUCUCAUUUUUAUCUUAAAAUUUUCAAGGAUACAGCCAUACAGAUUGUCUUCAUUUCUAAAAUCUACUUCAAAAUAUAUAGUUUAAUUACCUGUCUUUCCCUUUGUACCAUGAUGAGACCUUAUAACUUAAUUAAUUUACAAAUUAAUGCCACAACGAAUCAAGUGUAACUUAUGUUUUUCUUCUAUAUAUUCAUGUACAUCGGUUCAUAAUAAUAAGCCAGUUUCAAGAUUUAAUAACUUUAUAAAGUUAUCCACGUGUCGUAUGCCAGAUUAUUAUGAAUCUCUUGUAUAAGAUGACUAAGAUUUUGUUUCUAGUUACGUUAAAAAUGAUUCGUGAUUAGUUGAUAGGGUUUUCAUAUAUAUUCCCAUGUGUGGUUUAAGAUCGUGAGCUAUGCAUAUCGUUACGUCUUACAUGGUUUCCAUUCCACAUUAUUGUUAUACUAUACCAUUUAUUUUACAUUUAUUUUGUCAUAUAGAUCCUAACAUUUUUAUCUUUUUCUUUUGUUUCUCAGGUUACAAAUUAAAGAUUUAGGCUGCCAAGUAAAUUGUUCGAAACUGGAUUUGGACCAUCUGGUGAAUAUAUUCUCAUUUAUAUGUAAUGAUGCAAUGUGUAUAUAAGCCUAAUAGAUCGUGUGUACGUAAAAUGGAAAGACCAUUCAUGUGAAAUGAAUUAUAUAAUAUUUACUAUUUGUUGUAUUCUAUUUUAUUUGCAGAAUAUAAAAUAUAAAUAUGAUUGUACAGUGCAUAAGUAUAAAUUAUGUUUUGUUGUUGUAUCGUUGCUAUCAAAACUAAGAAUUUAAAUCUCAAUUUUAUCAUUUUGUUAACCAGAUCCACAUAAGUGUAAACUUCACAUAAAUUUCGUUAACCACAGCUACAUUUGGGCCAUAAUCUUACAGUACUUCGGCCAUAUGGAAUAGAACAUUCAGUACAUAUAUAUGUGGUCAAUAGUAUAUAUUAUUUCAGAUUUUAAUCUUAUUCAAAAUAUUAUAACUAUAUUUUAUAGUUUACAUUUGGGUUUGAGUUUAGUGAUUGGAAUUUAGGGUUUAGUAUUUAGGAGUUGGGAUAAUGUUUAAUAUUUAGGAGUUGUGAAUGAAGUCAUAAUCCUAUACUAUUUCAUCCAUGUGGAAUAGAGCAUUUGAUGCGUAUGUAUAUGGUCAAUAGUAUAUACUAUUUCAUAUUUUAAUUUUAUUCAAAAUAUUAUAACUAUAUAUUAUAGUUUACAUUUUGGUUUAGUGAUUGGAGUUUAGGGUUUAGUAUAUAGGAUUUGUGGUAAUGUUUAAUAUUUAGGAGUUGUGUAUGGAGUUAUAAUCCUAUACUACUUCGACCAUGUGGAAUAAAACAUUCAGUGCAUGUGUAUGUGGUCAAUAAACAUGUGACAUGGAUGAUUCUUUCUUUUUCGUGUAAAAUAGUUUCUAGAUACAUUUAACUAUAUAUUUAUUGGUGACAUGGAUAUAUAGACCAUAUUUUUACCGGGUAAUGACAAAGAAAAAAGGUAUAACCGGAUAAAUUAGAAUGUAAAUGUAAGUUUUUUUAUUAUGUCAAAAUCAUUGUUAUUUACCUGAUUUAUCUUCAAAAUAUGGUUGGUACACAAAUAAGCCCUUUCAUUAACCCUAAAAGUAGUCUAAGAAAAAGAAAAAAAAGAAAAAAGAAACAAGUCUAAGACGAACAGAUCAAACUAUUCACAAAUGUUGCUAUCUAUAACUAUAAAGGAGAGUUUUCUCUCACCUCCUGCAGCCACGUCAUUUAGGAGAUAUGGGCUUUUUUUCGCCACGUGGCAACUCAAUCACUUCAGAUUCAGCCGUACCUUUUCCUCUUCGCCUCGGUUCUACGAGGUAACGUCGAGUUGAAUCAAUGAAACCCAUUACCUCUUCUUAAAUGACUCUUUUCUCCGAUCAAUUUCACAAGUGAGUUUCAUAGUUCUUCUGUCUGCUAACGUUUUUUCAAGAGUUCUCCAGAAAAGAUCCAAAAAUGAAUGGUUAAUUUCCAGAUUCUAUUUUCAGAAUUGAAGGAAGGUCAUUGCAGAGAAAAGGGGUAAGUUCAUAGGUGUUGACAUGGUUCUGAUUGACGGGAAGAUUAUCUGAUUCUCUUUAAUCUCUUAUAAGUUACUUUAAUCCAUGAUUUUAUUUCAAUCCUUCACCAUCUAGAUUCAAACACCUGCUCAAACAAGGAUCCUUUUAUGAGCUAACUGUUUUUGAUGUCACCAGGAGCAUCCAAAACUUCAGAUUCGCUGAUGCCCCUGUUUCAAUCAGAUUCGUAGAGCAAACAAGUUUCGUCGAUAUCUCAGCUAGCAAUAACCCUAGCCCAACAAAGAGCUUCAGGUUUUGUAAAUUUCGACCAGCUAUUGUCACUGGCUAACACAAACACUGAAUUGCCAGUUAGACACUUCAUUACCUGACCUAUAAUUAAUUUCAUCCUCUAAAAUCUGCCAUUAAUCCUUAUGUUUCUCUGCAGAUAUCAUUGGGGGAGGUGCGGGGCAUAAGGACUACUUAGACCGAGAUACCAAUCCACUUGACGCCUCAUGUCUGAAGCCUGAACUCAUUACUUGCUUCACAUAGAUCCCCUUAGCGGUUUGGUUGUUGUCGUCUGACCUUACGUCGUUUACAUGACAUCUAGAUUACAUCUUCAGGUUUAGUUAACAUGCUUCCCUGAAGUACUAAUUAAGUCUGUGUGUGGUUAGGGAAAAUGUUCAUUCUCUGUGUUGUUGACUGCUUCCUGCUAUUCUGAGAUAUCUAAUUUUAGGAACUGUGGAUCCAAUUUAAUAUAUACAACUUUAUUUGUCUUUGGUACAGAACAGAGGAAGAAGUUUGGAAUAGGAAAACAUUCUCUCUUAACCCUUAGUUUCUCUGUAUCAAACUUUUUAAAAAAAAAUAUAUUAUGUGAUGAAUGUCAUGAUAAAAGUCUAUAACUUUGUGUAGUGGUAUUAAUUUUUAUUCAUUUUGCUCUGUAUCUUUUGAUAUUUUCAUAUGUGGAAAGGUGGAGGCUAUGGGUUGCAAAAUGUCAUUUAAUUGUUAAUGUCCGACUGUCUGAAUGCUCAACUUUGCAGGGACGGACCCGCAUGCAUAAGUGUAUUUGGCAACCUCGCAGAGCUCAUCGAUGAGGAAUUAGUAAUGUCAGGUGUGGAACCAAAGGUUGUUGUAGCCACCAAUAUCAACCCUAAAUUAGUUGGAGAGUUGGUCACCACAAGGUUGGUCUCGGUAGGAAGGUUCAUCCUCAACGUCUACAAAAUAUGGUGGUGUUAAGAAGAUCGGAACGUUAACACUGUCUGAGCUAAAUGCUUAUAUCACAUCUCCCCACAGGUGACCACUUUCACGUAACCCAUCUGUUAGUGCGUUUCUUGACCGACAAUUUCUUUCACUUUCGUUGGUGCCUUAUCCAAAGGUUUGAAACCAACUUCUCUGCUCUUCCACUGAUAAAAUACUGAAUAUAUUAAAAAUAUUAAUUGGAUCGAACUGUUCUCUUUUGUUUUGAGUGCAGUGUCCCUGAGAUAAAAGAGCAAACAACGAAAGAAAGCUUUCUGUUACAUGGUAUCUCACCAGAAUCAAUCUUUUUUGGACCGUGAGUAUCUUCAACCACAGAAUGUAAUGUCUUCUUUUUUUUAAUUUUAACACAGAAAUAGUAAUCAGCUCGAUAUAGCUUUACAUCAAAAAAAUUCAGGACAUAGAUCAAAAUGUUGUCUCAGUUCAGACGCAUGCAUUUGGUUUCUUUAAUCAGGUAUUGCAAUGAGGAAAGUAAGAUGAACGUUGUGUAUGAGUAUAUGAAAAAAGGAAUGCUUAAAGACCAUCUGUAUGACUCGGAUAAUCCUAGGUUGAGCUGGAGACAGAAGCUUGAGAUAUGCGCUAAAGGGCUUCACUAUCUCCAUACAGGUUCCGCUAGAGCCAUUAUACACUGCGUGUGAAGUCUGCUUCAGGCCAUUGAAGCUCUCGACCCGAACUACGAACUGGUAGUUUACUAGAACCACAAGAAGCAAACUCAAUCGGAAUAGAAAGACAACUUCAUAUCAUCAAACUGAUCCGUGGUUUGAGCAAAUUUGAUGUAACAAAAGCUCCGAGAGCAACUCCAAGACAACAAGAGUGACUACCUUUUGGAUAGAUAGAGAACAUUUCUUUCUUUCAUUUUUUUUUGUUGCAUUCAUCCAGAGUCUUUUGUUCUUUUUAUUCUCAGCAAAAUUUUCAGUAACCAAAUAACCUACCUUAGCGUUAUAAACGUAUAACUAGGAACAAUAAAUGUUUGAUUCUUUUGCUAAUGCCAUCUGAUAAUAAUACAAAAGAAAUUCAAUCCUUUGUAUUGCUCAACAUGUAAACUAAAGAAUUUAACCAAAUUUGAGUGUUUUCAAAAACUGAGAUACAAGUUUAUUUUGUAACGACUUCCUUGGUCGGGGUGGGUUGGGGACCAUAUUAUCUCAUUUCUCCUGCUCUUGGCUGGGAGGUCGGGAUAAUGCUUCUUUCUUGGCAAAGCAGUUGAUGGAGCUUUGUUAGCUUAAAUCCUGGGCCCUUUCAAGGAAAAUUUCAUGGGAACGUUCUUAAGUGUGACAAUCGUUGCUUUCUUGUGCUCUGUUAAGCUUCACAUGAUGUC